rnacentral:lncRNA from 12 species
CUCGUUUAUGGGAUCAUGUGGUAUGGCUUUGGAGCCAGCACCAAAGUAGCAGUUUAAAUACCUCUGCAUUUCCAUUCCUACCAGACAACUGCAUGGGAUAUUGACAGAGAAUUACAACUGCUGAAGAUAUGGAAAGAGGAAUGAUUUUGCAUUAAAGAAGAAGUCAAAAAGCAUCGUUUGGGUUGCUGAGAUGAGCCAAG